rnacentral:rRNA from 1 species
AAUGAACGCUGGCGGCAGGCCUAACACAUGCAAGUCGAACGAGGUAGCAAUACCUAGUGGCGGACGGGUGAGUAACGCGUGGGAACGUGCCCCUUGGUACGGAAUAGCCCUGGGAAACUGGGAGUAAUACCGUAUGUGGUCGAGAGACGAAAGAUUUAUCGCCAAGGGAUCGGCCCGCGUUGGAUUAGGUAGUUGGUGGGGUAAUGGCCUACCAAGCCGACGAUCCAUAGCUGGUUUGAGAGGAUGAUCAGCCACACUGGGACUGAGACACGGCCCAGACUCCUACGGGAGGCAGCAGUGGGGAAUCCUAGACAAUGGGGGAAACCCUGAUCUAGCCAUGCCGCGUGAUCGAUGAAGGCCUUAGGGUUGUAAAGAUCUUUCAGUGGGGAAGAUAAUGACGGUACCCGCAGAAGAAGCCCCGGCUAACUCCGCGCCAGCCGCCGCAGUAA